GGAAGUGAUUUCUAGGGUUCCGGCCCCAAUCCCCCGGGGGUGUCUGGUCCAAGAGAAGUCCACUGGGGUCACCCAGGUGCACGGAGGGACAAAAGCCCGGGAGAC
rnacentral:sRNA from 2 species